GAGGGGCUCGCGGCCCAUUAGCUUGUUGGUGGGGUAACGGCCUACCAAGGCAACGAUGGGUAGCUGGUCUGAGAGGACGAUCAGCCACACUGGGACUGAGACACGGCCCAGACUCCUACGGGAGGCAGCAGUGGGGAAUCUUGCGCAAUGCGCGAAAGCGUGACGCAGCAACGCCGCGUGGGGGAAGACGGCCUUCGGGUUGUAAACCCCUUUCAGGAGGGACGAAGGUUCACCGGUGAAUAGCCGUGUGGAUUGACGGUACCUCCACAAGAAGCUCCGGCUAACUACGUGCCAGCAGCCGCGGUAAUACGUAGGGAGCAAGCGUUGUCCGGAAUCAUUGGGCGUAAAGCGCGCGUAGGUGGCUUCAUAAGUCCGUUGUGAAAGUCAAAGGCUCAACCUUUGAAAGCCGAUGGAUACUGUGGAGCUAGAGUACGGAAGAGGCGAGUGGAAUUCCUGGUGUAGCGGUGGAAUGCGCAGAUAUCAGGAGGAACACCAAUAGCGAAGGCAGCUCGCUGGGACGUUACUGACACUGAGGCGCGAAAGCGUGGGGAGCGAACAGGAUUAGAUACCCUGGUAGUCCACGCCGUAAACGAUGGGUACUAGGUGU
rnacentral:rRNA from 1 species